rnacentral:rRNA from 1 species
UGGCGGACGGGUGAGUAACGCGUGGGCAACCUGGCCUGUACAGGGGGAUAACACUUAGAAAUAGGUGCUAAUACCGCAUAACGGGAGAAGCCGCAUGGCUUUUUCCUGAAAACUCCGGUGGUACAGGAUGGGCCCGCGUCUGAUUAGCCAGUUGGCAAGGUAACGGCCUACCAAAGCGACGAUCAGUAGCCGGCCUGAGAGGGCGGACGGCCACACUGGGACUGAGACACGGCCCAGACUCCUACGGGAGGCAGCAG